CCUACGGGUGGCAGCAGUGAGGAAUAUUGGUCAAUGGACGAGAGUCUGAACCAGCGAAGUAGCGUGAAGGAUGACUGCCCUAUGGGUUGUAAACUUCUUUUAUAAAGGAAUAAAACGAGGCACGUGUGCCUUUUUGCAUGGAUUUUAUGAAUAAGGAUCGGCGAACUACGGGCAAGCAGCCGCGGUAAUACGGAGGAGCCGAGCGUUAACCGGACGUAGAGGGUUUAAAGGGAGCGUAGAUGGGUUGAUAAGUCUGUUGUGAAAGUUUGCGGCUCAACCGUAAAAUUGCAAUUGAUACUGGCAGUCUUGAGUACAGUUGAGGUAGGCGGAAUUCGUGGUGUAGCGGUGAAAUGCUUAGAUAUCACGAAGAACCCCGAUUGCGAAGGCAGCUUACUAAACUGUGACUGACAUUGAUGCUCGAAAGUGUGGGUAUCAAACAGGAUUAGAUACCCGGGUAGUC
rnacentral:rRNA from 1 species